rnacentral:lncRNA from 1 species
AAAAAAUGAAAUUUUCUCUUUAAUGUCGUUUUUGAAAAGGAGGAUCCGACAUUAAUGAUAUGGGUUCAAUGUCAUUUUUAAACCAACAUUAAUGAUCGUCCAUUUUUUUUUAUUAUGUUAAAACCGACAUUAAUAUUUUUUUAUUUUGUAAGACCCUCCCCAUUUUUAAUUUUUGUUUUAAUUUUUUUAAGUUCUAAAAACUAAAUUUCCCUCUCUUUCCUACUUUACUCUUUCCCUAUCAAUUUUUCUUUUCUUCUCUCUUCCAGUCCUUCAAAUUUCCUUCUCUUCACAUUGUGUGACCUAAAUCGUGCAGCCGUCAAUCCUUUCCAGUCGCAAUUGCCACCGUUGCAUGCCUAGUCGUCAAUCCACCAUUGUCGCCACCACCGUGCCCCGUCAUCGCCACCAUGCAUAGUCCUUCGAAUUUCCUUCUCUUCUCAUUGUGUGACUUAAAUCACGCAGCCGUCAAUCCUUUCCAGUCGCCGUCGCCACCGUCGCAUGCCCAGUCGCCAAUCCACCAUCGUCGUUACCACCGUGCCUAGUCAUUGCCACCAUUGCGUGCCCAGCCAUCACAUGCCUAGUCGACUGGUUUAGGGUAGUUUCUUCAGCUUUAGACUUAUCGUCGUGCUUCCACCGCAUAAAUCCUUCCUGCCCAUCAGCUAUAGAUUAUUUUGUAUUCUUCAGGUUUAGCAACAACUAUUGUUGAGUUUAUUGUUUGAUUGAAUGAAAAUGAACUGUGACAAUCCAAAUUUUCGGGUAUUGUAAUUUAACUAUUUGAGAUUGUUUGCCCCAUAUGUUUGGAUAACAUGAAGCUAAAAUUAAUUAAUUUGUGACAUAAAAAGAUUAAUUAAGUGAUAAUGGAUUGUUUUUGGAAACCUAGAUUUAAUUUAGGUACGUUAUUUGAAGAAAAAAUAUUAUAAA